rnacentral:rRNA from 1 species
UGGAGGGCAAGUCUGGUGCCAGCAGCCGCGGUAAUUCCAGCUCCAAUAGCGUAUAUUAAAGUUGUUGCAGUUAAAAAGCUCGUAGUUGAAUUUCGGGGUUCUACCGUUGGUCGGGCUUUGUCUGUACUGGCGUGUAGAAUUUCUACCUUCUGGGGAACCAUCAUGUUAUUAAUUUAACGUGGUGGGAAACCAGGACCUUUACCUUGAAAAAAUUAGAGUGUUCAAAGCAGGCUUAUGUCUGAAUACAUUAGCAUGGAAUAAUAAAAUAGGACGGUGGUCCUGUUUUGUUGGUUUCUGAAUCACCGUAAUGAUUAAUAGGGAUAGUUGGGGGCAUUAGUAUUCAAUUGUCAGAGGUGAAAUUCUUGGAUUUAUUGAAGACUAACUUCUGCGAAAGCAUUUGCCAAGGAUGUUUUCAUUAAUCAAGAACGAAAGUUGGGGGAUCGAAGACGAUCAGAUACCGUCGUAGUCUUAACCAUAAACUAUGCCGACUAGGGAUCGGACGAUGUUAAUUUUUCUUGACUCGUUCGGCGCCUUACGGGAAACCAAAGUGUUUGGGUUC